rnacentral:rRNA from 1 species
CCUACGGGUGGCAGCAGUGAGGAAUAUUGGUCAAUGGACGCAAGUCUGAACCAGCCAUGCCGCGUGCAGGAUGACGGCUCUAUGAGUUGUAAACUGCUUUUAUACGAGAGUAAACGCCGUUACGCGUAUCUGUCUGAAAGUAUCGUACGAAUAAGGACCGGCUAAUUCCGUGCCAGCAGCCGCGGUAAUACGGAGGAUUCAAGCGUUAUCCGGAUUUAUUGGGUUUAAAGGGUGCGUAGGCGGCCGGAUAAGUUUGAGGUGAAAUCCCGGGGCUCAACUCCGGACUUGCAUCGGAAACUGGUCGGCUAGAGAGUAGUUGAGGUAGGCGGAA